GAUUUCUGGUACUUGUUGUGCCGGUCCGGGCCUUCUGGGUUUCGUGUACUGGUGUCGACUUACCAUCCUUCCAGAAUCUCCAUGGUGGGUGCUCGCAAGGGUGUUUGCUAUGGUGUCUGGAUCUUUUACUUUGAAAAAAUUAGAGUGUUUAAAGCAGGCUUACGCUAUGAAUACAUUAGCAUGGAAUAAUGAUUUAGGACUUUUGUCCUUUUGUUGGUUUUCUAGGAUGAAAGUAAUGAUUGAUAGGGAUAGUUGGGGGUGCUAGUAUUUCGUCAACAGAGGUGAAAUUCUUGGACCGACGAAAGACUAACUAAUGCGAAAGCAUU
rnacentral:rRNA from 1 species